UCUUGUUGUCUUCUUCUUCGUCUAGCCGUCACCGAAACCAAACCCAAUUUCAAAAUAAACAACCGUCCGUCUUCUUCUCCGUUACUCAAUGGCAGAAUGAUGAUGACGAUCUUGAUGUAUAGACGCCGAAGAUGAUAGAUGUCGGAGAUGAUAGACGCGUUGUGUUGACGGAGAGGUGAUGAAGGUUUAAGAGGUGAUAACGAACGACGACGGUGAUGAUCGGAGAACUCAAACUGUGAGUUGCAGGUUUAAUGGUGGUGGUCGCUGGAAGUGAUAAACGAUGAUGAUGAAGAUCGCUGCUGUUAUGAAGACUAAAAUGAAAGUGACGGUGAUUGGAGCGUGACGAUGAUCAACUGAUGAUUGAAUGACGAUGAGGACAGACGUUGAUCGGAAAACAAGCAACUCGAGACCGAUAACUUUACUCGGAACCUUUAUGAUUCGAGAUAGUGGAGAUGGUUGCGACUCGGACUCGGAACCGUGAUGACUCAAGACCUCCGGUCGCACAAGUUCACCUCGAUCGCACAAGAUCACUUCGAUCGCACAAGUGUUAUGAUCGCACAAGAUUACGAUCGCACAAGAUUGAUUCUGGAUCGCACAAGAUGCCUUCAGGUCGCACAAGAUCACCUGAUCGCACAAGAUUGCUUCUUGGUCGCACAAGGAUAACCUGCUUCUUUUUCUUUUGAGUCCAGCUGUCUACAAUCAAUGACAGCCAAUCACGAAAAUCAAGCAAUUUCCAACUCUUUUGACCAA